UACGUAGGGUGCAAGCGUUGUCCGGAAUUAUUGGGCGUAAAGAGCUCGUAGGCGGUCUGUCGCGUCGGCUGUGAAAUCCCGGAGCUCAACUCCGGGUCUGCAGUCGAUACGGGCAAACUGGAGUACUGCAGGGGAGACUGGAAUUCCUGGUGUAGCGGUGAAAUGCGCAGAUAUCAGGAGGAACACCGGUGGCGAAGGCGGGUCUCUGGGCCGAUAUUGACGCUGAGGAGCGAAAGCGUGGGGAGCAAACAGG
rnacentral:rRNA from 1 species